UGCCAGCAGCCGCGGUAAUACGGGGGGUGCGAGCGUUAUUCGGAAUUACUGGGCGUAAAGAGCGCGUAGGCGGUCUUUUAAGUCAGGUGUGAAAGCUCGGGGCUCAACCCCGGAAGUGCACUUGAAACUAAGAGACUUGAGUAUGGGAGAGGGAAGUGGAAUUCCUGGUGUAGCGGUGAAAUGCGUAGAUAUCAGGAGGAACAUCGGUGGCGAAGGCGACUUCCUGGACCAAUACUGACGCUGAGAUGCGAAAGCGUGGGGAGCGAACAGGAUUAGAUA
rnacentral:rRNA from 1 species